rnacentral:rRNA from 1 species
GACGAACGCUGGCGGCGUGCUUAACACAUGCAAGUCGAACGGAAAGGCCCUGCUUUUGUGGGGUGCUCGAGUGGCGAACGGGUGAGUAACACGUGAGUAACCUGCCCUUGACUUUGGGAUAACUUCAGGAAACUGGGGCUAAUACCGGAUAGGAGCUCCUGCUGCAUGGUGGGGGUUGGAAAGUUUCGGCGGUUGGGGAUGGACUCGCGGCUUAUCAGCUUGUUGGUGGGGUAGUGGCUUACCAAGGCUUUGACGGGUAGCCGGCCUGAGAGGGUGACCGGCCACAUUGGGACUGAGAUACGGCCCAGACUCCUACGGGAGGCAGAAGUGGGGAAUAUUGCACUAUGGGCGGAAGCCUGAUGCAGUAACGCCGCGUGCGGGAUGACGGCCUUCGGGUUGUAAACCGCUUUCGCCUGUGACGAAGCGUGAGUGACGGUAAUGGGUAAAGAAGCACCGGCUAACUACGUG